rnacentral:rRNA from 1 species
CCUUAACCUACCCUUGACAUGUCUGGAAUCCCGAAGAGAUUUGGGAGUGCUCGCAAGAGAACCGGAACACAGGUGCUGCAUGGCUGUCGUCAGCUCGUGUCGUGAGAUGUUGGGUUAAGUCCCGCAACGAGCGCAACCCUUGUCAUUAGUUGCUACGAAAGGGCACUCUAAUGAGACUGCCGGUGACAAACCGGAGGAAGGUGGGGAUGACGUCAAGUCCUCAUGGCCCUUAUGGGUAGGGCUUCACACGUCAUACAAUGGUCGGGACAGAGGGUAGCCAACCCGCGAGGGGGAGCCAAUCUCAGAAACCCGAUCGUAGUCCGGAUUGUAGUCUGCAACUCGACUACAUGAAGUCGGAAUCGCUAGUAAUCGCGGAUCAGCAUGUCGCGGUGAAUACGUUCCCGGGUCUUGUACACACCGCCCGUCACACCAUGGGAGUGGGUUUCACCAGAAGUAGGUAGCCUAACCGCAAGGAGGGCGCUUACCACGGUGAGAUUCAUGACUGGGGUGAAGUCGUAACAAGGUAGGCGUAGCGAG